GAGGGGCAAUCGGAAUUCCUAGUGUAGCGGUGAAAUGCGUAGAUAUUAGGAGGAACACCAGUGGCGAAGGCGGAUUGCUGGACGAUAACUGACGGUGAGGCGCGAAAGUGUGGGGAGCAAACAGGAUUAGAUACCCUGGUAGUCCACACUGUAAACGAUGAAUACUAGGUGUGCGGGGACUGACCCCCUGCGUGCCGCAGUAAACACAAUAAGUAUUCCACCUGGGGAGUACGAUCGCAAGGUUGAAACUCAAAGGAAUUGACGGGGGCCCGCACAAGCGGUGGAUUAUGUGGUUUAAUUUGAAGCAACGCGAAGAACCUUACCAGGGUUUGACAUCCUGCUAACGAAGUAGAGAUACAUUAGGUGCCUUUCGGGGAAAGCAGAGACAGGUGGUGCAUGGUUGUCGUCAGCUCGUGUCGUGAGAUGUUGGGUUAAGUCCCGCAACGAGCGCAACCCCUAUUGUUAGUUGCUACGCAAGAGCACUCUAGCGAGACUGCCGUUGACAAAACGGAGGAAGGUGGGGAGGACGUCAAAUCAUCAUGCCCGUUAUAUCCUGGGCUACACACGUAAUACAAUGGCGGUCAACAGAGGGAAGCAAAGCCGCGAGGCAGAGCAAACCCCCAAAAUCCGUCCCAGUUAGGAUUGUAGGCUGCAACUCGCCUGCAUGAAGUAGGAAUCGCUAGUAAUCUGCGGAUCAGCAAGCCGCGGUGAAGACGUUCCCGGGCGUUGUACACACCGCCCGUCACACCAUGAGAGUCGGGAACACCCGAAGUCAGUAGCCUAACCUGAAAAGGAGGGCGCGGCCGAAGGUGG
rnacentral:rRNA from 1 species